UACGUAGGUGGCAAGCGUUAUCCGGAAUUAUUGGGCGUAAAGCGCGCGCAGGCGGUUUCUUAAGUCUGAUGUGAAAGCCCACGGCUCAACCGUGGAGGGUCAUUGGAAACUGGGGAACUUGAGUGCAGAAGAGAAAAGCGGAAUUCCACGUGUAGCGGUGAAAUGCGUAGAGAUGUGGAGGAACACCAGUGGCGAAGGCGGCUUUUUGGCCUGUAACUGACACUGAGGCGCGAAAGCGUGGGGAGCAAACAGG
rnacentral:rRNA from 1 species